ACCUGGGUGGCUCAGUUGGUCAAGCAUCUGACUUCGGCUCAGAUCACGAUCUCACAGUUCGUGGGUUCUAGUCCCACAUCGGGAU
rnacentral:tRNA from 1 species